UUCAUAUUGACUUAAUUAUCAUGAAAAACAUUAGAAUUAAUUAAUUAAUAAAUUAAUUAAUCAAUUAAUAAAUAUAAUAUAAGUUUUAUUAUUUUAUAAAAAAAUAUUUUUUAUAAAAUAAAACAAAUAGGUUUUAUUUUUAAUGCAAACAAUUUAAUUUUUUUUCUCUGAUUUUGGUGUGAAAUAUGACCAAGACAUGAUUCUCUUGUUUGAAAUGUAAUUGUAAAACAAUAAGUGUCCAAAGGACAAGAAUGCAAAAAAUAUGACGCUUUACUCAACCUGCAGUUGGAAACUCAUGGCUGCAUUAUUGCUCAGAGCAGUGCAAAUUCAUAUUUGUAAUAUCACUUCUGGAGUACUUUAAGUACUGAUAGCAAGUUAAAUAGAAGCAUGUGUCAGCCUUGAAUAUGAUUUGCCUUGAAUGGAAUUUCAUUAUAGCCAAAGCCGAUGGGAAGCAGUCAUUUACAGAAUGUACUUUUAAAAUAAAAAGUGUCACUUUUAAUAAAAGCUCGUAAGGCAUAAUGACAAUUUAACGACUGAUUCCAAAGCAAUAUGAUUAAUUAGACUUGUGGCAGUGAUGUUUUAAAACAUUUCCAAGGAGCUGAUUUAAAUUUACGAAUGUAAUGUUACGAUUUUUCUGAACAUUUGAUCAGACAAAAAAAAAAACAUUCCUACAAAAUGUCUUACACUAUAUCAGCAUCUAGUCACUGAAUGUUGCAUUUAAAGGUGUUAAACGAUCCUCACAUUUCUGAUAUUUGUUUUUUGAUGUACAACUAGAGCUGAAUGCACAAGGACCUGGUCUUGUCAGAUACAAAAUGUAAAAAGUUGCGUUAACGCAGUUGAGAAUGUACAUGACGUAGUGUACGAUCUCUGUCACAGGAAGGUUUGUUUUUGUACUCGGAUAUCUGAUAUAAAUGAAAAGCACACUCUUAGUCGAUCACAUGACUCAAUGAAUGGACAUUGAGAAGGGCUUAAACACAAGCGUAAUGUGUUUCAUAUGACAGUGACAGAUUGAGCACACACUUAUUCAAGACAGGCAGAGAUGUGUGUUACGGAACAUUUUGUUAUAUUUCAGCACUUGCAUUUUAUUUGAGGUUUGAAUUUAUAAAUUUGGUCUGUUUUACGUAAUAAACAUGCACAGCUGUUCAAAC
ensembl:lncRNA